AAAAAAAAAAAAGAAAAAGUAACACUUUGAUUUUAAAUUUGAGGAUAAUGUUGAAAAAGACCGUAGGCAGCCAGUUCAGAGCUCGCUACAAUCAUCUAAGGGCUUUUGUUAUUUCUAGUAAUAGGUACAAGGAACCAAUGAUUCAUUGGCUUAGUGGUUAAUGAUGAUGUGAGUUUAGACGAGAUUUUAGGUUUGAGUUUGGGGGUUGUAAGUGUAUCGUUUGAUUUGGGGUUUUAUAGCUCGUUAUUUAGUUUUCGUGAUUUUCAGGCUAUUGUGAGAGUUUAAGGGAUGAUUAGUCUGGUUAAUUAAUAGUUGAGAUAAACCUUUUAAGGCACAAAAAAAAAUUAUAAGAAAUAAAUUUUAUAAUUAAUGUUCACUGAUAUGGUAUGAAUUCUCACACCAACAUGAAACGGG
rnacentral:misc_RNA from 1 species